GAAAUGCGAUAAGUAGUGUGAAUUGCAGAAUUCAGUGAAUCAUCGAAUCUUUGAACGCACCUUGCGCUCUCUGGUAUUCCGGAGAGCAUGCCCGUUUCAGAAUCAUUAAAAUCCACCGUACCUUUAGGGGGUCUGCUUUAAAGCAGCUCUCCUGAGUGGUGCGGAUGAUGGAUGCUUUGCGAUUGCCAAUUGCAAUCAUCUUUAAUGAAUUGUGCAUGCUGCAACCGGUUGGUUGAUGUGGCAUAUAAAGUGCAACAGAUUAUUUCUCUUCCACUUGGUAUGCUUCUCGAUCUAGGAUGUGUGUGUACUCAACCAUUUAACGGUUGCUGUGACUUUUGUCUUAGCUUCUGAUAACUUGGUCUGAAAUCGGGCAAGAAAACCCGCUGAACUUAA
rnacentral:misc_RNA from 1 species